GACAGAGGAUGCAAGCGUUAUCCGGAAUGAUUGGGCGUAAAGAGCGUGUAGGCGGUUCGGUAAGUCUGCCGUGAAAACCUGGGGCUCAACCCUGGGCGUGCGGUGGAUACUGCCGGGCUAGAGGGUGGUAGAGGCGAGUGGAAUUCCCGGUGUAGCGGUGAAAUGCGCAGAUAUCGGGAGGAACACCAGUAGCGAAGGCGGCUCGCUGGGCCAUUCCUGACGCUGAGACGCGAAAGCUAGGGGAGCGAACGAG
rnacentral:rRNA from 1 species